rnacentral:rRNA from 1 species
AUUGAACGCUGGCGGCAGGCCUAACACAUGCAAGUCGAACGAGUGGCGGACGGGUGAGUAAUGUCUGGGACACUGCCCGAUGGAGGGGGAUAACUACUGGAAACGGUAGCUAAUACCGCAUACCAUCGGAUGUGCCCAGAUGGGAUUAGCUAGUAGGUGGGGUAAUGGCUCACCUAGGCGACGAUCCCUAGCUGGUCUGAGAGGAUGACCAGCCACACUGGAACUUAUACACGGUCCAGACUCCUACGGGAGGCAGCAGUGGGUAAUAUUGCACAAUGGGGGAAACCCUGAUCCAGCCAUGCCGCGUGUGGGAUGAAGGCCUUCGGGUUGUAAAGCACUUUUAGCGGGGAAGCGGUACCUGCAGAAUAAGCACCGGCUAACUACGUGCCAGCAGCCGCGGUAAUUC